rnacentral:rRNA from 1 species
CCUACGGGGUGCAGCAGUGGGGGAUAUUGCCCAAUGGGGGGAACCCUGAUGCAGCGACGCCGCGUGGGUGAAGAAGCGCCUCGGCGCGUAAAGCCCUGUCAGCAGGGAAGAAAAUGACGUUACCUGACGAAGAAGCCCCGGCUAACUACGUGCCAGCAGCCGCGGUAAUACGUAGGGGGCAAGCGUUCUCCGGAUUUACUGGGUGUAAAGGGGGCGCAGACGGCGAUGCAAGCCAGGAGUGAAAGCCCGGGGCCCAACCCCGGGACUGCUCUUGGAACUGCGUGGCUGGAGUGCAGGAGGGGCACGCGGAAUUCCUGGGGUAGCGGUGAAAUGCGUAGAUAUCAGGAGGAACACCGGUGGCGAAGGCGGCCUGCUGGACUGCAACUGACGUUGAGGCCCGAAAGCGUGGGGAGCAAACAGGAUUAGAUACCCGUGUAGUC